UGCCGCCCUGCAGAGGAUUCCUUGCAGCCUGUGGGGCCCUUGCAAGAGCCUGCACCGUGCUUUUUGGAUGUUCAGCCUCUAAAACCGGGUGAAAUCAUCUGUUUUAUUUGCCACCAGCAGAGAGUGGAUUGGAAGUGGAGCAGCUGGAACUCGAACCAAUGUCCAUAUGGGAUGCCAGCACGGCAGGCAGCAGCUUUACCGGCUAUGCCACAGCACCGGCCCCCAGGCUCUGUACCACCAGUGCAGCCCGGGACUCCGAGGUGCAGGUUUGGCCAGCUCAGAGAAGCCAUCUUAAGGGCAACCACAGACAGCGCGUGCCCAUACCAUGCUGGUUUCCUGAAGUUACUAAGGAGCUGCCAAGUUCCCAUCUCCUAGCGCUGACACGGUCAUGUCUCCAAAUGGUGUUUUUCAGGGCCAGCGCUGUGGCAUAGCGGGUAAAAGCCCUAGCCUGAGGCGUUGGCAUCCUAUAUGGGCACUGGUUCUAGUCCCGGCUGCUCCUCUUCUGAUUCAGCUCUCUACUAUGGCCUGGGAAAGCAGUAGAAGACGGCCCAAGUCCUUGGGCCCCUGCACCUACGUGGGGACCCGGAAGAAGCUCCUGGACCCUGGCUUCGGAUUGACGCAGCUCCAGCCGUUGUGGCCAUCUGGGGAGUGAAUCAGCUGAUGGAAGACCUCUCUUUCUGUCUCUACCUCUCUCUGUAACUCUGUCUUGAAAAUAAAUAAAAAAUAAAUCUUUUAA